rnacentral:pre_miRNA from 1 species
CUCUCUGUAGCCCUCGGUGCAGUGCUGCAUCUCUGGUCAGUUGGUAGUCUGAGAUGAAGCACUGUAGCUCGGGACACAGGACUA